rnacentral:rRNA from 1 species
GAUGAACGCUGGCGGCGUGCCUAAUACAUGCAAGUCGAGCGCAGCGGGGACGGGUGAGUAACACGUGGAUAACCUCCUAUAAGACUGGGAUAACUUAGGGAAACCGGAGCUAAACCGGAUACUUAUAGAUGGCUCCGCGCUGCAUUAGCUAGUUGGUAAGGUAACGGCUUACCAAGGCAACGAUGCAUAGCCGACCUGAGAGGGUGAUCAGCCACACUGGAACUGAGACACGGUCCAGACUCCUACGGGAGGCAGCAGUGGGGAAUCUUGCGCAAUGGGCGCAAGCCUGAUGCAGCCAUGCCGCGUGUAUGAAGAAGGCCUUCGGGUUGUAAAGUACUUUCAGCGGGGAGGCGUUACCCGCAGAAGAAGCACCGGCUAACUCCGUGCCAGCCGCCGCGGUAAUUC